UACGGAGGAGGCAAGCGUUAUCCGGAAUUAUUGGGCGUAAAGCGUCCGUAGGUGGUUUAGUAAGUCUGCUGUUAAAGCGCGGGGCUUAACUCCGUAUCGGCAGUGGAAACUACUAGACUAGAGUGUGGUAGGGGUAGAGGGAAUUCCCAGUGUAGCGGUGAAAUGCGUAGAUAUUGGGAAGAACACCGGUGGCGAAGGCGCUCUACUGGGCUAUAACUGACACUGAUGGACGAAAGCUAGGGGAGCGAAAGGG
rnacentral:rRNA from 1 species